rnacentral:rRNA from 1 species
AGGUAAGCUACUAAGAGCGAAUGGUGGAUGCCUUGACUGGUAAAGGCGAUGAAGGACGUACUAGACUGCGAUAAGCUACGGGGAGCUGUCAAGAAGCUUUGAUCCGUAGAUUUCCGAAUGGGGCAACCCAAUGUAUAGAGAUAUACAUUACCUAUAUAGGAGCGAACGAGGGGAAUUGAAACAUCUUAGUACCCUCAGGAAAAGAAAUCAAUAGAGAUUGCGUCAGUAGCGGCGAGCGAAAGCGCAAGAGGGCAAACCCAGUGCUUGCACUGGGGGUUGUAGGACUGCAAUGUGCAAGAGGUAAGUUUAGCAGAACAUUCUGGAAAGUAUAACCAUAGAGGGUGAUAGUCCCGUAUGCGAAAAACAAACCUUAGCUAGCAGUAUCCUGAGUAGGGCGGGACACGAGGAAUCCUGUCUGAAUCCGGGUCGACCACGAUCCAACCCUAAAUACUAAUACCAGAUCGAUAGUGCACAAGUACCGUGAGGGAAAGGUGAAAAGAACUGAGGUGAUCAGAGUGAAAUAGAACCUGAAACCAUUUGCUUACAAUCAUUCAGAGCCCUAUGUAGCAAUACAGGGUGAUGGACUGCCUUUUGCAUAAUGAGCCUGCGAGUUGUGGUGUCUGGCAAGGUUAAGCAAACGCGAAGCCGUAGCGAAAGCGAGUCUGAAUAGGGCGCUUAGUCAGAUGCUGCAGACCCGAAACGAAGUGAUCUAUCCAUGAGCAAGUUGAAGCUAGUGUAAGAACUAGUGGAGGACUGAACCCAUAGGCGUUGAAAAGCCCCGGGAUGACUUGUGGAUAGGGGUGAAAGGCCAAUCAAACUUCGUGAUAGCUGGUUCUCUCCGAAAUAUAUUUAGGUAUAGCGUUGUGUCGUAAUAUAAGGGGGUAGAGCACUGAAUGGGCUAGGGCAUACACCAAUGUACCAAACCCUAUCAAACUCCGAAUACCUUAUAUGUAAUCACAGCAGUCAGGCGGCGAGUGAUAAAAUCCGUCGUCAAGAGGGAAACAACCCAGACUACCAGCUAAGGUCCCUAAAUCUUACUUAAGUGGAAAACGAUGUGAAGUUACUUAAACAACCAGGAGGUUGGCUUAGAAGCAGCCAUCCUUUAAAGAAAGCGUAAUAGCUCACUGGUCUAGUGAUUUUGCGCGGAAAAUAUAACGGGGCUAAAGUAAGUACCGAAGCUGUAGACUUAGUUUACUAAGUGGUAGGAGAGCGUUCUAUUUGCGUCGAAGGUAUACCGGUAAGGAGUGCUGGAGCGAAUAGAAGUGAGCAUGCAGGCAUGAGUAGCGAUAAUUAAUGUGAGAAUCAUUAACGCCGUAAACCCAAGGUUUCCUACGCGAUGCUCGUCAUCGUAGGGUUAGUCGGGUCCUAAGUCGAGUCCGAAAGGGGUAGACGAUGGCAAAUUGGUUAAUAUUCCAAUACCAACAUUAGUGUGCGAUGGAAGGACGCUUAGGGCUAAGGGGGCUAGCGGAUGGAAGUGCU